UAGGGAAUCUUCCGCAAUGGACGCAAGUCUGACGGAGCAACGCCGCGUGAGUGAAGAAGGAUUUCGGUUCGUAAAACUCUGUUGUUAGAGAAGAACAGCGCAUAGAGUAACUGUUAUGCGUGUGACGGUAUCUAACCAGAAAGCCACGGCUAACUACGUGCCAGCAGCCGCGGUAAUACGUAGGUGGCAAGCGUUGUCCGGAUUUAUUGGGCGUAAAGCGAGCGCAGGCGGUUAGAUAAGUCUGAAGUUAAAGGCAGUGGCUCAACCAUUGUAGGCUUUGGAAACUGUUUAACUUGAGUGCAGAAGGGGAGAGUGGAAUUCCAUGUGUAGCGGUGAAAUGCGUAGAUAUAUGGAGGAACACCGGUGGCGAAAGCGGCUCUCUGGUCUGUAACUGACGCUGAGGCUCGAAAGCGUGGGUAGCAAACAGG
rnacentral:rRNA from 1 species